AAUAGGCUUGCUAGCUGAUUGUAUAUAUAUGCUGGCCGUAUUUCAUAGCAAGCUCGCUUUUAAUAGGCAACCAGUAAUAUGAGCAAUUCUUUACCUACAAGCCUAUAAUUAUAUUAACUCUAAGAGAAAUCUAAUAAUAAACGGAGUGAAUUGAAAUAUCUUAUUAACUUCAGGAAAAGAAAUCAAAAGAGAUUCUAUGAUUAGCGUGAGCUAAAAUAGAGUAGCCUAGAAAGUCAAAUGGUGGAUAAACUGUUUAAAUUUAAUGGGGAACCUUCCUCAAAGGCUAAAUAUAAUAUGUAAGCGAUAGUGGAAAGUACCGUGAGGGAACCAAAACAAAAACAGUGAUUUUAUAAGCAGUUCGGAAAAAUAAAAAAGUUAGAACGUACCUUUUGCAUAAUGGGUCACCAAGUUAACAUUAGAUGCGAGAUUCUACGUAGUUAAACCGAGCGUUAAAAUAACGGUAAGUGUCUAAAGUUAGACCCGAAGCCUGGUGAUUUUACCAUAAUCAGGAUUAUAAAAGUCCGAACGGAAUAUUGUAGCAUAAAUAUCCGAAGAAUUAUGGUAGGUGUAGUGAAAGACAAUACUGACCAGGAUAGCUGGUUUUCUGCGAAACCUAUAACAGUAGGCAAUUUAAGUAUAAUAUCUUAGCAGGUACAGAAUUUAAUCUCAGACAAGACAUAAGGCUUAACUUGUUAACAAGUUAAGCCCAUGUUUUAUUUUGUACAAAUUGGGGGAUCAUGAAGAUUUUAUCAGUGAGUAUGUAGACUCGGAAUGGCAAAGAUAUAUCUUAAAUCAUCAGACAUAGAAUGAUAAGGUUGUAUGUCAAAAGGGAAACAGCCCAGAACAAGAGUUAAGGUUCCUAAAUUAUUAGUUGAGUGAAAUUAAGAAGGUUUUUAUUAAAGUCGACAAGGAGAUAGGCUUAGAAGCAGCCAUAAUUUUAUGACCUCGUAACAGAGCGCUUGUUAAGUUUUAAAAGCAUCGAAAAUUUAUCGGAUCUAAACAAUAUACCGAAACCUUGUCCAUAUUAUUUUAUAAUUAAUAGUCUCAGCAAGCUCGGACUAUACAAUUAUAAUUAAAUGGGGUAGCAGAACGUUGAGCUAAAUUAAGAUUUUUAUUUUUUAAAUGAAAUUAUAAUAAUUUAACUCAAGUGAUAAUGGUGACAUGAGUAACUAAAAGAAAAUUUUCCGCCUAAAGCUUAUGGAUGUAAUUAAGUAACGGCCUCUAAGUUUAUGGAAUCAAAAGAUUAAAACGAUGAGACAAUCUUUCAUACUAAGGACGACAUUUUAAGUGCAAAAUGUACUGGAAAAAUAGUAAUAAGUUUAAGCUAUGGCUAGAACUAGCUAUAGCUGUAAAUGGAAAGUAACCGUACCUAGAAUCUGAAACAAGUAAGCUAGUAGAGAAUACGAAGGCGUAAAUGAGCUAACAAUCAUAAAGGAACUCGGCAAAUUGACUACCGUAACUUCGGGAUAAGGAGAGCUCAUUAUUCUUGAUUAAUAUCAGGUAAAGAGGAAGAAGCAUGAAAUAGUGUUGUACGACUGUUUAAUUAAAACACAGCACUUUGCUGAAAGAUUAAAAAUCUAAGUAUAGAGUGUGAUGUCUGCCCGGUGCCGGCUGGUUAACAGAUAUAAUUAAAUAUACUAAUAUUUGAUGUAGACGGAAACCCCGGUUAAAGGCGGCCUUAACGUGAGGGUCCUAAGGUAGCGAAAUGCCUUGGCCGUUAAAUGCGGUCUUGCAUGAAUGAUGUAACGAUACAACAGCUGUCUCUAUGAUUGACUCAGUGAAAUUGGAAUAGCUGUGCAGAUACAGUUUACCUCUAGUUAGACGAGAAGACCCUAUGCAGCUUUACUGUCACUAAUUAUAGAGUAUGAUAAACAAUUUUCAGUUUAUAAGGUAAUUGACGGCCGGCUUGCUUAGCAAGCUGGCUCUAUGACAAUGAGAAUCCUUUAUUUUUUUUUCAUAUGAAUGAAUUGGUUUAGGACGAGCUUAAGCUCGUAGUAAAUCAACCUAAUUCAGCUUAUUUUCCUUUCUGCUGUAAGCGCAUAAUGAUAGAUUAUACUUAAAUUUGGAUUUAUGCCUGCAGAAAUAGAUAAGUACCCUUGGUUAAGGAACUAUCGCUAGGGGACAGUUUAUGUGGGGCACAGACCCUGUAAAGAGUAAACAGGAGUGUCUAAUAAUUUAUAAUUAUUUUGUUUGCGAUUUAAGGUAGUAGAACUAUUUUUAAUCAUAUAAAAUUAUUUAUAUGUACAUUCGUUGUAUAUAUAUUUAAAAAAAGGUAGGAUUUUCACUAUAUAGAAAUUAGAGAUAAUAAAAAUAUUAAGUAGUAGCUGCUGAGUCCUAAUCCCGCCGAAGGGGGGGAUAUGGACUACUAUGUAUUUCAUAGCAAGCUCGCACUAAUAUUUUUUAACUAUUAAGACUGGCUAUCUAGCUAUGCUCUAAUAGUUAUGUUUUAAUUAUCUAAAAAGCUCAACGGCUAAAUCUUGCCUUACUGUUUGAUUAUCAACAAAUCUUACAGUUGCGUAAGCAGGGCAUAGGAUCACAAGAUGCAACAAGGAAAGAUCUUGGAUUAUUGGAAAAGCUACGCUAGGGAUGUUUGUCCUUUAAUAUUUUAUUUCACUGUGGUAUGGGUCAU
rnacentral:rRNA from 1 species